rnacentral:rRNA from 1 species
GCGAACGCACCUUCGGGUGUUAUUAGAGUGGCGGACGGGUGAGUAACACGUGGGAACAUGCCUUUCGGUACGGAACAACGCUUGGAAACGAGUGCUAAUACCGUAUACGCCCUUCGGGGGAAAGAUUUAUCGCCGAAAGAUUGGCCCGCGCUAGAUUAGCUAGUUGGUAAGGUAAUGGCUUACCAAGGCGACGAUCUAUAGCUGGUUUGAGAGGAUGAUCAGCCACACUGGGACUGAGACACGGCCCAGACUCCUACGGGAGGCAGCAGUGGGGAAUAUUGGACAAUGGGGGCAACCCUGAUCCAGCGAUGCCGCGUGAGUGAUGAAGGCCUUAGGGUUGUAAAACUCUUUCAGAUGGGAUGAUAAUGACAGUACCAUCAGAAGAAGCUCCGGCUAACUCCGUGCCAGCAGCCGCGGUAAUACGGAGGGAGCUAGCGUUGUUCGGAAUUACUGGGCGUAAAGCGCGCGUAGGCGGCUUUGCAAGUAGGGGGUGAAAUCCCGGGGCUUAACCCCGGAACUGCCCUCUAAACUGCAGAGCUAGAAUCCUGGAGAGGUGAGUGGAAUUCCUAGUGUAGAGGUGAAAUUCGUAGAUAUUAGGAAGAACACCAGUGGCGAAGG